rnacentral:tRNA from 1 species
UCCCUAAUAUCUCAGUUGGUAAAGAAUCCACCUGCAAUGUAGAAGACUCUGGUUCAAUUCCUGGGUUAGGAA